UACAGAGGUCUCGAGCGUUGUUCGGAUUCAUUGGGCGUAAAGGGUGCGUAGGCGGCGGGGCAAGUCUGAUGUGAAAUCCCGGGGCUCAACUCCGGAACUGCAUUGGAUACUGCCGUGCUUGAGGACUGGAGAGGAGACUGGAAUUUACGGUGUAGCGGUGAAAUGCGUAGAUAUCGUAAGGAAGACCAGUGGCGAAGGCGGGUCUCUGGACAGUUCCUGACGCUGAGGCACGAAGGCCAGGGGAGCAAACGGG
rnacentral:rRNA from 1 species